rnacentral:lncRNA from 1 species
AGUUCUGUCUGCAUGUAUGCCUGCCGGUGAGAAGAGGGCACCAGACCUCAUUACAGAUGGUUGUGAACCACCAUGUGGUUGCUGGGAAAUGAACUCAGAACCUCUGGAAGAGCAGCCAGUGCUCUUAACUGCUGAGCCAUCUCUCCAGCUCCGGCAUUAAGUUUUUGGUAAUUUUUUCUUUCAAUAGCCACAAGAAACUAAUAUAAUCAUGAAAACCAAGAAAGGAAGCUGGGGAAAUAAAGUGCUUAACGUGUUAGUAUGAGGACUGUGUUUUACCCCUAGAACUCAUGCAAACAUCUGGGUGCUAUGGCAUGCACUUGUAAUCCUAGUUCUUAGGAUGUAGAGAUGGGUCUAAUCGGCAAGCCUCAGGUUCCAGUAAGAGACCCUGCCUCAAAAACCAAAGACAGUGACUCCUGAGAAAAGCACCCAGUGAUGGUCUUUGCCUUUUAUUCCUUUCGUAGGAAUAAAAACAAUCCUCAGAGCCGGGCGUGUACCACCACUGCCUGGUACCCCUUACUUUAUUUUGUAAAACAUUUUUUUUCCUGAAUGAAGUGGAUAUAAGG